GAUAGCUCAGGAUGAACGCUAGCUACAGGCUUAACACAUGCAAGUCGAGGGGCAGCAUGGUCUUAGCUUGCUAAGGCCGAUGGCGACCGGCGCACGGGUGAGUAACACGUAUCCAACCUGCCGUCUACUCUUGGACAGCCUUCUGAAAGGAAGAUUAAUACAAGAUGGCAUCAUGAGUCCGCAUGUUCACAUGAUUAAAGGUAUUCCGGUAGACGAUGGGGAUGCG
rnacentral:rRNA from 1 species